rnacentral:rRNA from 1 species
AUUGAACGCUGGCGGCAUGCCUUACACAUGCAAGUCGAACGGCAGCACGGGAGCAAUCCUGGUGGCGAGUGGCGAACGGGUGAGUAAUAUAUCGGAACGUGCCCAGUCGUGGGGAUAACGUAGCGAAAGCUACGCUAAUACCGCAUACGAUCUAUGGAUGAAAGCGGGGGAUCGCAAGACCUCGCGCGAUUGGAGCGGCCGAUAUCAGAUUAGGUAGUUGGUGAGGUAAAGGCUCACCAAGCCGACGAUCUGUAGCUGGUCUGAGAGGACGACCAGCCACACUGGGACUGAGACACGGCCCAGACUCCUACGGGAGGCAGCAGUGGGGAAUUUUUGGACAAUGGGCGCAAGCCUGAUCCAGCAAUGCCGCGUGCAGGAUGAAGGCCUUCGGUGUAACU